ensembl:lncRNA
GACAAUCUCUAGGUCUGUCCACAUUUGCAAAAGGCUCAGUUCAAGAGAGGCUGGGCAUUUUCAUGUGAGAUUCCUGAUUCCAGUAAUUAUUGGCAACUGAUCAGAAAGAAUGGAGUGACUGAAGUUUGUGGCACUCUCGUCAUCGUCUCAUCUGAUCCUUACAGUCGCCUGUGCAGCAGUGUUUCCACGUUUUCAGAAGUGGUUGGGAGAAGUGACGUGCUGAGUUCGAGGUCCACGAGCAUAUGCCUGGGAGUAGAAUGCUCAUUCGGAUGACUUUCCAAGUUUCACCUUCGAGGGACUGCUGGACUCUACCAUCUCCCAUCCUCCCAGCGGUGUCUGAGGAUUCUUAUCUCCCCACAUCCUACCCUAGUCUCAUCUGGUACCACUCUGCUCCUGGGUCUCCAGGCUCUAACCUCUGACGCCUGUAGGAUUUUCCCGGACCAGGGAUCAAACCCAUGUCCCCUGCAUUGACAGGCAGAUUCCUUACCAGUGAGCCACCAAGACCACCAAAUGGAAGAUCUUAAAGGUGCCUGUGAUUCUAACCUUAAUCAGACCCAGUGUCUCAUUGUCUAUCCUGAAAUGAAAUUCACAAAUAGUAUAACCUGCUUAUAGAGUGAAAACACAUAGAGGUAAUUCUCAAACUCUAAAACAGAGGAGAAUAAGUGAAAAGUAAUUUAUAAGAAAGUUAUAUGUAUUAUAGUGCUGGAAGUCCCAGUGAAGUAGCCAGGGGCUUGAACUGAACAGGUGGACGCUCUGUGAAGGUGACGGCUGCACACGCAGGUAGAGCGAGGUGUGGGGUGUUGACCCCUCGUGUGCCACCAGCACGGUGAGUGGAGAUGCUGCCAGUACUGAUGCUCCAGAAGAAUGACCAAUGGGAGCGCCCACGCAGAGUCCAGCUCAGUCUUCUCUCAGUUUACACGGUCGCUGCGUUUCAGGAAAGUACAGUGUGUGUUUAAACCAAGCAAAAACCAGUCUGUGUUUAAAUGUAAAAUAGAGUUGUUUUCUAGGUUGACCGAACUGUUCCUGGGAAGAACCACCAGGAUAUACUCUUGCCUCGGGCUGAAACGUUCUUCCUCCACCCUUUGACCACGUGCUUCACCUAUUCUUGUUUUAAAAAAUAUUUAUUUAUGUAUUUGGCUGUGUUAGGUCUUAGCUGAGGCACACAAGAUCUUCGCUGCAACCUGCUGGAUCUUUUGUUGCGGUGCACGGACUUGCUAGCUGUGGCACGUGGGCUUAGCUGCUCUGUAGCACGUGGGAUCCUAGUUCCCUGACCAGGGACUGAACCUGAGUCCCCUACAUUGCCAAGCAAAUUCUUAACCACCAGACCACCAGGGAAGUCCCUCAAGUCCAACUUGGAAGGUGCUUCCUCAAGAGAACCUUUCUAGCUUCUGCUACUUCUUCACUGUAUUUAACAUAUUUAAGACCAUUUGCAAGUGUACAUUUAUCCGUUCUCUUUCUGUUCAUGUCCGCCUCUCAGCUGGACUCGAACUCCAUGAGGUCUGGACUUGAGACUUUCCUAUCAUUGUAUCCCCAGCCCUUAACUCGUGCCUGGUAUGCAAAUAUCUGCUGCACGAAUACAAUAGUGCUCCUGUCUGCCUCCUUUGUUGUCCUGGGACUUCUUAGAAGACAUUAUUGUGCCAAAUUUAUCUGUGUCCUCAGUGCUAAAGAUAGUUCUUCCUUUUAUGUGGAAAACAGUGGUCAAAUAUUUAAUGAGCAAAUAAAAGCAAAAGCACAAUUGGGCUUCCAACGUCCUAAUGAAUGAGCUGAGGACACAGUACAAGGUGUUUUGGUAAAUCCUCCAGAAAGUGCCG